UUAAAAGUACCAUUAACUGCAAAUGAAACAUACUGGAGAUAACAAUGUACAGAUCACAAAGAAUGAAGCAAAGAACUUCAUGAUGUGAAAAAACUAAAUAAGCAAAUUUUCAUUCAUCUGGGCUUAGGCAUGCCUUUCUGGUCGUCUUUUUGAAUUAUUCUUGGGACGAAUUUUCACAAACGCUUUCUCUAAAUCCUGAACAGGUUCUUUUGGCGGCAUGCCAGAGGUCCAGAGAUCUUCCAAAUUGUAAUAAGCUC
rnacentral:misc_RNA from 1 species